rnacentral:rRNA from 1 species
UACGGGGGGGGUAAGCGUUGUUCGGAAUUACUGGGCGUAAAGGGCUCGUAGGCGGCCAACUAAGUCGGACGUGAAAUCCCUCAGCUUAACUGGGGAACUGCGUCCGAUACUGGAUGGCUUGGAUUUGGGAGAGGGAUGCGGAAUUCCAGGUGUAGCGGUGAAAUGCGUAGAUAUUGGGAGGAACACCAGUGGCGAAGGCGGCUCACUGGACCGGUACUGACGCUGAGGCGCGAAAGCGUGGGGAGCAAACGGG